AAAACACUCCUGGCUAAUAUGUUCCCUAUCUCUUUUCAUUGCAGGCUGGAGCAAACAAGAAUAAAAAGGCAGGAGGAAGGGGUGCCGGUGGCAAUAGACAACAAGGGAGAAGGAAGUGGAAAAAGCCACAGCAGCAGUAAAGUCGUGAUGCCGGAAAUAGCCCAGAGCAAGAGCUAACAGAUCAGAAACCGAAGGAGCUAAUUGGGACACCAGCUGGCACACCUUUCUCCUUUCAUCUAGAAAGACAAGAAACCUACAUACAUGUCUGCAAAAUUAACAGAGUCCAUUCCAUCAAGGAAAACAGAACAUUCGACCUAAACAAAUCUUGGUUUAGGGGUGAUUUUACUUUGGUGUCUUUAAUUAACUAUUCCGUUGUCCU